UACGUAGGGACCAAGCGUUGUUCGGAUUUACUGGGCGUAAAGGGCGCGUAGGCGGCAAAUUAAGUCAGCUGUGAAAUCUCCGAGCUUAACUCGGAACUGUCAGCUGAUACUGAUGUGCUAGAGUGCGGAAGGGGCAAUCGGAAUUCUUGGUGUAGCGGUGAAAUGCGUAGAUAUCAAGAGGAACACCGGUGGCGAAGGCGGAUCUCUGGGCCAUUACUGACGCUGAGGAGCGAAAGCGUGGGGAGCGAACAGG
rnacentral:rRNA from 1 species